CAUAAACCAACUCAUAACGAUAAAGUCCGUAACUGUGCUGUUGACACUCGCCAUACUUAUCCUCGGUGUAGCGACAGUAAACGCUAUAGAUGCAUGUACAGAUGACAGGGAGUAUUUAGUCGAGUGUGGUCCUGAGAUAGAACUGACCAGUAGAGAAGGCGGACAUUGCAUUCCAAUUACCGACUGCUAGAUAUACAAAUUUGAAAGAUCAUAUUUCAGCGGUGUGUUGUGUUGGUGAGGCAAUAAAAGAAGAAGAAAAAAAUCCUCUUUCAAAACGAUGCGUGAAAAUGAGCUACGAUGUGAAACCUUGCGUCAUAUCCGUACCAAUCAAACCAUUCGUAGUUCACUUCACGAUCCGUAGCCGCAUAGAAAAGGUCGUCUGCCCAUUGAUCGCAAUCUUGAGCCAUUUGGAUAUCCCUGCACGAUGCGUUUCAAAACACUUUAUAAUUAAACAUUUCUCAUGAGAAUGAUUACAAUUCAUCAACAGACACGCUAUAACGCAUCUCAUGUACGCUUCGCUACACACUCUAGCACUGGCGCAUAAAGAAAUGCCUUUAUAAGAAUUAUCUCUUUAUUAUGUCUUAAUAUACCAAGUUCUCACGUACCCUAUGCGUGAUGUCUUACUUUCGACCAACCCAUUGUUCGUUGUAGUAUAAAUCUCCCUAUCCUUGUAUCAGAUGAUCAUUCUACAUUAAACAUUCAAUUGUUAUACAA